rnacentral:tRNA from 1 species
CGGGUGUAGCUCAGUUGGUAGAGCAUCAGCUUCCCAAGCUGGAGGUCGCGAGUUCGAAUC